AUUGAACGCUGGCGGCAUGCCUUACACAUGCAAGUCGAACGGCAGCACGGGAGCAAUCCUGGUGGCGAGUGGCGAACGGGUGAGUAAAGUAUCGGAACGUGCCCAGUCGUGGGGGAUAACGUAGCGAAAGUUACGCUAAUACCGCAUACGAUCUAUGGAUGAAAGCGGGGGAUCGCAAGACCUCGCGCGAUUGGAGCGGCCGAUAUCAGAUUAGGUAGUUGGUGGGGUAAAGGCUCACCAAGCCGACGAUCUGUAGCUGGUCUGAGAGGACGACCAGCCACACUGGGACGGAGACACGGCCCAGACUCCUACGGGAGGCAGCAGUGGGGAAUUGUGGACAAUGGGCGAAAGCCUGAUCCGGCCAUGCCGCGUGCAGGAUGAAGGCCUUCGGGUUGUAAACUGCUUUUGUACGGAACGAAAAGGUUUGGCCUAAUAAGCUGAGCUCAUGACGGUACCGUAAGAAUAAGCACCGGCUAACUACGUGCCAGCCGCCGCCGUAA
rnacentral:rRNA from 1 species